rnacentral:lncRNA from 1 species
CCGAACCACUAUAUUAAACCGAACCGAACCAACCGAAUUAUUUCGGUUCGGUUUCGGUUUCGGUUUAAAAAAACCGAAUUUUCAAUCCAGAUUCAAAAGUAGCAACCGCUCGACUAGCAAACCAAGAUGUAGAUAAGAUAUGCUUCCAAGUUCUAAUCCAGAUUCUCAGUAAUCUCAUUCUGGGACUCAUCUCCAUGUUUGCGACAUAACCCCCAGCGGCCAGACUCCACUUCCAGUAGCCAAUCUAAUUUAAAUUCAAUAUCAAGGAAAAUGAGAGAAGGGUCAAGACUUGCGGUUGAUGUUUGUGUGAAUCGUGAUGAACUGAUCUUCCGUCUUUGUGUGAUUUGUGUGAGGGGGCGAAGACUGAAAGUUGC